CUGGUCACUCCACUAAAAACCUCCCCGAAUGGAUGUGAGGCCACUGCACUCAUUGGAGCUGAUAAAUAAGAUCAUGGCCAGUGAGCAACCAUCACAGAACACCCACUAUGUGCUUGGCUGGACUCGGCUGGGGGAGACAGGGCCGGAAGGGCCGUUUUACUAGCCUUGCUCUCCGUAGACCAUACUAACACACAGAGGUACAUAUUAAAACAUGAAGACCCUCAUGCUUGUACAGAACCCCAUAGUCUUACUCUCACCCUGUUCAGACAUGUGACCAUAUGUGGAUCUCAGACCUGCAAGCUAGACAGAAGAAAGAACUUCCCCGGGUGUGGUUGUCAAUGCAGUACCGUAAAAGUAUCAGAAGGCCUCUCUUCCUGGAAGGCGGUGAACCAGGAGGGGCCCCGUCUUGCAGCGCCAGGCAUGAGGAACUCAGUGUCUUCCUGCUCAGGUUUGAGGAGGGUGUUCUGUGCAAGUCAGCCUGUGACUUCUCGUCUCCUUUGCACCCCACACACCCACUUGCUCGGCUUUCUGAAGAACAGAGCCCCAUCCUGUGAUCACCACCCUCCACCAGGCACUCUGGGAGCCAGCAUGAUCCUCAGGCUUCACACGCAGUUUUCCCGGCUGAACCCCAGUCCAUGCUGCCACCGCCCGGCCGCCGAGCAAGAGGGAGGUGGGUCUCGGCAGGCUGUCUAUCACGCCUUCUUUCAGCAGCA
rnacentral:lncRNA from 1 species